rnacentral:rRNA from 1 species
ACGCUCGACCCUACGGGAGGCAGCAGUGGGGAAUAUUGCACAAUGGGGGAAACCCUGAUGCAGCGACGCCGCGUGGAGGAAGAAGGUCUUCGGAUUGUAAACUCCUGUUGUUGGGGAAAAAGAGGAUGGUACCCAACAAGGAAGUGACGGCUAACUACGUGCCAACAGCCGCGGUAAUCUGAGCGGGCUGGCAAGGC